CUACGUGCCAGCAGCCGCGGUAAUACGGAAGGUCCGGGCGUUAUCCGGAUUUAUUGGGUUUAAAGGGAGCGUAGGCUGGAGAUUAAGUGUGUUGUGAAAUGUAGACGCUCAACGUCUGACUUGCAGCGCAUACUGUUUUCCUUGAGUACGCACAACGUUGGCGGAAUUCGUCGUGUAGCGGUGAAAUGCUUAGAUAUGACGAAGAACUCCGAUUGCGAAGGCAGCUGACGGGAGCGCAACUGACGCUGAAGCUCGAAGGUGCGGGUAUCGAACAGGGUUAGAUACCCUGGUAGUCCGCACAGUAAACGAUGGAUGCCCGCUGUUGGUACUUGGUAUCAGCGGCUAAGCGAAAGCAUUAAGCAUCCCACCUGGGGAGUACGCCGGCAACGGUGAAACUCAAAGGAAUUGACGGGGGCCCGCACAAGCGGAGGAACAUGUGGUUUAAUUCGAUGAUACGCGAGGAACCUUACCCGGGCU
rnacentral:rRNA from 1 species